rnacentral:rRNA from 1 species
CCAGGUUGAUUCUGCCUGACGUAGACGCUAUUCCCUAAGAUUAACCCAUGCAUGUUUUUGAAGAUUAUUAUCUGAAAAAUGGACUGCUCAGUAAUACUCACUUUAUUUUAUGUGCACCGCAGAUAACUACGUUAAAGUGUAGAUAACAUGUGUACAGUAAGAGUGAGACCUAUCAGCUAGUUGUUAGGGUAAUGGCUUAACAAGGCAGUGACGGGUAACGGUAUUACUUUGUAAUAUUCCGGAGAAGGAGCCUGAGAGACGGCUACUAAGUCUAAGGAUUGCAGCAGGGGCGAAACUUGACCUAUGGAUUUUAUCUGAGGCGGUUAUGGGAAGUAAUAUAUUAUUGUUUCAUAUUUUAAAAAUAUAUGAGGUGAUUAAUUGGAGGGCAAAUCAAGUGCCAGCAGCCGCGGUAAUACUUGUUCCAAGAGUGUGUAUGAUGAUUGAUGCAGUUAAAAAGUCCGUAGUUUAUUUUUAAGAAGCAAUAUGAGGUGUACUGUAUAGUUGGGAGAGAGAUGAAAUGUGACGACCCUGACUGGACGAACA